AAAUAGAAGUUAGACUUUCUUAAUUCAUGAUCAUAAUUAUCAAAAACGUUAUUUAAAUAGUAUAAAAAAUUUUCUAAUAAAAAAUUCAAAUGAUUUGAAUUGCUCUACACCGUUAAACAAGCAAAUGGCUCAUAUAAUUAAAUCCUAAAAAAUUGUUGAUCUUGCGAUUCUUUAAUCACUAUAUAAAUAAUUUUUAAAUUUAAUAAAAUUUAGUUUCUAGAUACUCUAAAUACUCUCGAUUAAUUUCAACAGUAACAAUUAUCGAUUCGGGAUCUCUAUUAUCAAAAACGACUUGAUUGAAUAAUAACUGGAUUCUUUAUAUAUGUUCUAUAUAAAUAUAUAUAAAA
rnacentral:lncRNA from 1 species